UACGAAGGGGGCUAGCGUUGUUCGGAAUCAUUGGGCGUAAAGGGCGCGUAGGUGGCGGGACAAGCGUGCGGUGAAAGCCUGGGGCUCAACCCCGGGUCGGCCGUGCGAACUGUUUUGCUUGAGCACUGUAGAGGCAGGCGGAAUUCCGGGUGUAGCGGUGGAAUGCGUAGAGAUCCGGAAGAACACCGGUGGCGAAGGCGGCCUGCUGGGCAGUAGCUGACACUGAGGCGCGACAGCGUGGGGAGCAAACAGG
rnacentral:rRNA from 1 species